rnacentral:snRNA from 1 species
UUACUUACCUGGAUGGGGUCUAUGGCUGAUCAUGAAGAGUCAUGGCCUAGGCUGGUGGCCUCCAUUGUACAUGGGAGGAGCACUAGCUUACCAUCUUCCUAAAUGGGAGAGUGGACGUCAUAAUUUGUGGUAGAGGGGGUACGCGUUCGUGCGGCCCCUA